rnacentral:rRNA from 1 species
UACGGAGGUCUCAAGCGUUGUUCGGAUUCAUUGGGCGUAAAGGGUGCGUAGGCGGCGCGGUAAGUCGGGUGUGAAAUCUCGGAGCUUAACUCCGAAACUGCAUUCGAUACUGCCGUGCUUGAGGACUGGAGAGGAGACUGGAAUUUACGGUGUAGCGGUGAAAUGCGUAGAUAUCGUAAGGAAGACCAGUGGCGAAGGCGGGUCUCUGGACAGUUCCUGGCGCUGAGGCACGAAGGUCAGGGGAGCAAACGGG